rnacentral:ncRNA from 2 species
UUCGGCGGGUCACCCUGUGGUGACCUCUCGAGACAGCCCAGGGGAGGGGCAAGAGGGAACCCGGUGAGACCCCGGGACUGCCCCGCAGCGGUAUUCGGGAACGACCGCCGUCACACAGCACUGGGUGCAGCCAGCACCCGGGAAGCGACGGCCAGUAGGCACCCGUCCGGCACCUGCCGGACGCCUCGGUGACGAGGACGCCCGUGAGUCCGAAGACCUGCCAGCGCCCGUCCGCGACC